CCAACCAUUUAUUCAACUGUAACAUGUAAAUAAGUAGGAAAGAUGUGUGACCGAGUCUUGACUUUGGACAUCCUACAUAUCUCGAGUUAUAAGAGAAUCAGGUCACGUGUAGUUCAAAUUGAUGUAGGAGUGGAAGGGUGAAUUAGAGAGUCGAGUUGAGAUCCCAUCGAGUUUCCGGUUUGUGGUUCCUUUUACUACAUCAAAAAAGAAAAGGUGAAACUAUAAAUGAAAAAUACAAGCUCCUAUCCAUUCUAUUGGUCUUGAUUCUCUUGCUUCAAAUCUUCCUCUUGGAUCUUUGGUUAUCGCCUCACCUUCUUUAGGUGGGUACCUUGAUCAAAAUUUGAUCUUGAAGUUAGGAUUUGAGACUUGAAACUUGGAUUGAGUCAUUGACACUCUUCCAAAGGACAAUUCAUAGAAUAACUUUGGAUGUUUGUUCUCCUGAUCAGAAGUUGAAAUAUGUCUCUUGAGAUGUUGGGCCGCAAUGGAUGCAAAGCUGACUCUAACUAUCUUCAAACUGAUCAUUCUUCUAUAUUCUGACUGAAGACGGGAUUUCAUUCUUGAAUAUACAUGUGCUUUGAAGAAAAACCUGCAAGCCAUCAAAAAAAACAAAAUAAAACAAAUAAUUUUUUUUCUUCUUUUUUUGCCCCAAUUUGCACUCGAAAAAUUUUGUGAGUUGUUAGAGAAACUACACAAUAAUAAAUAAAAAUCAUAGAAAUCAAAGCUAGGUAUGCAAUAAAAUAAGAUUUUUGUUCUCAAUAAUGCAACUAAAUGAUGUUAUGCCUUGUGAAUGCAUGAAAAAAAAAUUAGGAUUUUUGCUUCUUAAAAUGCGACUAGGGAUUGUCAUACCCUAUGAAGACAUAAAGAAGGAAAAUAGGAAGGUUUAUUUCCUAAAAUGUUAACUAGUUUAUUUUUUAAAAUGUCAACUAGGGAAUGACGCCCUAUGAAGACGAGAUAAGAUGUCAACUAGGGGAUGGCGCCCUAUGAAAAUCAAAUAAGAUGUCAACUAGGGGAUGAUGUCCUAUGAAGAUGAAUAAGAUAUCAACUAGGGGAUGACGCCCUAUUAAGACGAAUAAGAUGUCAACUAGGGGAUGACGCCCUAUGAAGACGAGAUAAGAUGUCAACUAGGGGACGACACCCUAUGAAGACGAAUAAGAUAUCAACUAGGGGAUGGCGCCCUAUGAAGACAAAUAAGAUGUCAACUAGGGGAUGACACCCUAUGAAGACGAGAUAAGAUGUCAACUAGGGGAUGACACCCUAUGAAGAUAAGAUAAGAUGUCAACUAGGGGAUGGCGCCCUAUGAAGACGAAUAAGAUGUCAAUUAGGGAAUGACGCCCUAUGAAGACGAAUAAGAUAUCAACUAAGGGAUGACACCCUAUGAAGAUGAGAUGAGAUGUCAACUAGGGGAUGACGCCCUAUGAAGAUGAAUAAGAUGUCAACUAGGGGAUGACGCCCUAUGAAGACGAGAUAAGAUGUCAGCUAGGGGAUGACGCCCUAUGAAGACGAAUAAGAUGUCAAUUAGGGGAUGGUGCCCUAUGAAGACAAAUAAGAUGUCAACUAGGGGAUGACGUCCUAUGAAGAUGAGAUAAGAUGUCAACUAGGGGAUGACACCCUAUGAAGACGAAAUAAGAUGUUAACUAGGGGAUGACGCCCUAUGAAGACGAAUCCAAUAUCAACUAGGGGAUGGAGCCCUAUGAAGACAAAUAAGAUGUCAACUAGGGGAUGACACCCUAUGAAGACGAGAUAAGAUGUCAACUAGGGGAUGACGCCCUAUGAAGACGAAAUAAGAUGUCCAUUACGGGAUGACUCCCUAUGAAGACAAAUAAGAUGUCAACUAGGGGAUGACGCCCUAUGAAGAUGAGAUAAGAUGUCAACUAGGGGAUGACGCCCUAUGAAGAUGAUAUAAGAUAUCCACUAGGAGAUGACGGGCUAUGAGACGAAAUAAGAAUUAGGAAAUUUUUGUUCCCUAAAGAGUACUGAAGAGAUGUUUUACCUAUUGAGGAAAGUGAGAUUUUUUUAUUUUUAUAUAUAUAUAUAUAUAUAAAAUAUGCCCCAGUUUUGGAUGCAAGGAACUUUGAAUUUUUUUUUUAAUAAAAAAAAUGCCCCAGUAUUAUACCUUUUAGGGAUGUAAAAAAUAAUAAUUAUUCUGCGAUACCGAAUCCUAUUGUAGGAUUGCCUACGUAUCUUGCAUAGCAAGAAUCAGGUCUAACGUAGUUCACGAAGCUUAACAUAUUUUUUAUUUUUUUAAAAGUAUGUGCUUUAUAAAGAUUCAGAGAAUGAAAAGAAUGAAAUCAAUUUAUUUCUUGACUUCAAUUGGUACCAACAAUUAGCAUCAUGAUCGAAUUAUCUCUAAUUACUUUCGAGCAAAAAUUAAGAUCAACAUUAGAAGUGAUUCCUAUAGUUUCAAGUGGUACCUCGAAUAUGCUUAAGUUUCGACAUGUUCCAUUUAUCUUGCCUGAAUCAAGGAUUUAAAGUUCUUCUUAUCCUCAUGUUUCAAGUGUCCUUGCCACAACUAAAAUCCUAAUUCACUCAUAUUAAAAAAAAAUUAGAUUUUAGGACAUUGAAGAAUUCCUCACACUCAAAAAGAUAUUCAACGCAUGCAAUGAGAUACCAUAAGCUUGACAAUCAUGUAAGUAUCCACUAAUAUGAGAACACUCAAAAUGAAAUCAUGUAGGACUUAUCAUUGGUUGAUAUUGUAGGCUUAGGGACAGGUAGGAUGAUAUUUGAAAGUCAAGUGACUAAUUUCUCAAUGAGCACUGCAUUAUUUUCUUGCUUUUAUCAUUUAUUGCGGUUUGAUGCUCGAUCUUCUUUGUUGUGCUUCUUUGCCCCUUGUUGUGUAUUUGCUUCGACUUUGUUUGUAUCUUGUGCUGGAGCUUUUCCCCUUUUCUUUUCAAUAAAAGUAUUAUUAUUAUUAUUAUUAUUAUUAUUUUAAUUCUUUUUUAUGAAGAUUCUCCAUCUUUGUUGAAGUUUUUUUUUUAAUUGGGUUCUUGCUCCUUCUUCUUUGAAGUCGUCUUUUGUUUUUGUUCUCCUGGGCUAUACGUUCUUUGCCUCUGACGCCUUUGAUCUUGAAUCUUCAUUUGCAACUUGUACUUAUUUAGUGUGCUCAAUGAAGUAGGCCAAAAGAGGGAUAAUGCAUAUAAGCACUCGAAAGGUAUAGGCUCAGAUGUGGUUAUCCAAAGAAAAGGUUUUAGGAUCAAAGGGAGAAGUGCUGGGGAUUAAUGUCAUUUGGUGAGUUGUGGAAUGCACAAUCGAAUUAAAGAAGGCCUACGAUCCUUUCCCAAACUAAGUUUAUCUCAAAAUUUUGCCUCAACAGACAUUCAAGUCAAGUUCUAGAUCAACAGAGCGAUGCCUUUGAAUUUUCAAUCUAAAGCUCACCACUCAAUGCACAUGAAACAGUGAGGUAAGAUUUUAUUUUAAACUUGACUUAGAACAAGAAAACUUUACAAGUGAACUUUAGUAUAAUUAGAGGCAUCAAAAGAAUCUGUAGUUCACAAUCAAGUUGGUCCAUUCUAUCGUAUCUCAUAAUACACUUAAUUUUUUUUCAAUUCAUAUUUUUAAGUAUGUUGGUACCAAUUAUUAGGUCAAGAUUUAUUUUUUUUAGAUGAGACUGAACUCAAAAGAAGAGUUGCCUACGUAUCUUGUUGAAACAAGAAUCAAGUCAAACGUAGUUCAGGAAGCUUAAAAGAUGAAGUCAAAACUUUUUUUUUUUUUUGAAUUUUGAAUUAGGAAAAACUUUUUUUUUUAUUUUCUAUUUUUGUUUUUGAAAUCUUAAUAAACACCUUUUUUUUAAUUUGAAAUUUUAUAAAACCCCUUUUUUUUUUUUUUUUUUUACUUUAUAUAAGUAUUUCUUUUAGAUGAAGACUAACGUCCUUUUUUUUUUCAAAUUUAAUGAGGAUCACCGAACCUAAGAAAGGUUGCCUACGUAUCUCAUUAAGAUGAGAAUCAGGUGUGCGUAGUUCGUGAAGCAGGAGACAUGAAGAAAUCCGCUUUUUAUUUGAAAAAAAAAAGAUUUUAUUGAAUUUAUUAAUAAUUUUUUUUAAAAUUUUUGAAAAUAAAUUGAUUGAUUUUUUUUUUAUAAGGAUCAAAACUUUUCUUUUUCUUUUCUUAAGAAAAUACAACCUUCAUUUUUUAGGAUCACCGAACCCGUGGAGGGCUGCCUACGUAUCUCGCGGAGAUGAGAAUCAGGUGUGCGUAGUUCGUCCAAAUUGCGUCAAACUCAAUAAUUUAUAAAAUUAUUUUUUUGUCUUUUAUUGUGAAAGCAAAUCUCGCACCUUAUUUGAGUUUAGGAAAAGGAUAGAUUUUGGAGAGCAAUUUUCAGCCUCUCUUACGCUAAUGGAUUCCAAAGCCGAACAACAUUCAAAACAGCCUAACAGUUAAUGCAAGUAGUGACACAAAAAAUGAAUAGUCUUAAAAUAGGAUACUUUUAGACAUUCAAAACUUUGUCGAGCCUCCACUGAGUUAAAAAUCCACUUUAUGCAAAUAAAGUGGAGCCUAAUAGGGAUAAUCAUGUCCAAGUUUCAAUUCUACUAGGUUUAACCUGGCGGAGUUAGGUAUCUAGACUGACUGUAAAAUGAGAGGACAACUCAAGUCGGGCAAGGACAGCUUUAUCGAUAGCAGGGUUUUUCGGCCUCACUGUUGGUCCCUUCUUGUCCUAAAUCAUUGGUAACUACAGAAUUCUUCCCAGGAGCGUCGCCGCAUCUCUGGUAUCUCAAGCUCGGGAGCGUAUACCGUAUCUCUGAGUAUAAAGUAUCUCAGAAGACUCAGAUGAGUGCGCAAGAGAAGACAGUUUAUAUUGCAAUUCAAAUAAUAUCAAAGCAGAACAUGUAGGCAAAUAAUACAUUUAGGCCAACAAUAUGCAAUAUUAAAAUUAAAUAAAGCAAAACAAGUCAAUAUAAAAGCUCGAAUUCUGAUUAUAUCCACAGCAGAGUCUCCAUCUGUCACACCCCUAUUUUACCGCAUCCGACCCCGCGAGGGAGAUGGUUUUGAGAAAAAUGAGUUUUUUCAAAUAAAGUGACAUUUUGAGUAGAAAUUAUUUUAUUUACAGAGUCGCCACUUGGCAUUGAGUUUGGGUGUUCACCUUAUUGUAUCCUCAAUUUUGUUUUAUUGGUCUGCGAACUAGAAAUCCGGAUAAGGAAUUCUGUUGACCGAGGGGAAGGUGCGAGGCACCCCUCGAGUCCCGUGGUUCUGGUACGGUCGCUUUAAUGAUUUACUUGUGACUUAAAUUAAUCUCUUGGAUACAUAAUAUUUGUUAGCCUAAAAGUUACUUACAUCCUACUUGAUUUAUUUAAAAUUAUUUAAUAAUGUGUGGCUUGUCGGUAGCAGUACUUUCCGAUCAUGCCAAGGGUUUGGAUAUAUUUCUCACGCCUUUGAGUCCUUUAUGGAUCGUCUCCAUUUUUCUAGUCUAAAUAACACCUAAUAGGUCUAGAAUCUACCCAACUCGAUUCAAACGGCUUCAAAUGGUAUAUUAAAUUUUAUUAUAACGAAUGGUCAGGAGUAGGGCUUUCCAACUUCAUCGUUAACUUUCACUUGUAUAUUAAACAUUUAAAUUUUUUCUUUCGAUCACAAACCUACGCUUAUUUUUUAUUAAACCCUUAUGUUCUAGUAUAGCUUAUGAAAGGGAAAGUCACUGUGUCGUUUAUUUCAAAUAUAAUAACUAUUAGUUAAUAAUUAUCCUAUUAAAUGAUUACCUUUUUUUUUAACUCUACCUUUGUAAAAAUAAAGGCAAACAAAACACUGUUUUCUCUAAUGUGUGCUUCCUAUAAUAGUUACUGCUACUAUUGAAUAAAAAAAGUUUGUGUUUCUUGCAUUUAAUUAUUCUUGUUUAGCUUUACUAAUUAAUUAUUCAUGUAAUAAAAAUGCAUGCCAAAACACUCACGGUGACAAAAAUAUAAAUUUAUUAUCUAAGUCGAUAAAAUUUACUAAUCACAUAUAAAUUUAAUAUUGACUUACUCUCACACUUUUAGCCGAUGAAAAGACAUAAUAGCGUGGCGUAAAAUAUAAAAUUAAAAAAUGACUUUGAGAUAACAAAAGGAGAUUCACGUGAUUACAGGCAAUUGAAGUAAUUAAAAUGUAUUGUCAUUAGAAUUAAAAGUUUUAAAAAUAACUAAGCCAGAAAUAAAGUUCAGAUCUAUUCUUUGUGGUGUUAAACCAAAUAGACAAAUACGAUAUUAUUCUAGCAAUAACUAAAUAGUAACUAAACAAAAUCAUUAGGACUAUUUUACGUUAAUUUACUCUAAAUUUAACAAUAUUAAAUUUGAACAUACUUGUGGUAGUACCAUAAAAAUAUAUAAUAUCUAGAGAAAUAAUUCAAACACAUACGAAUUUUGAGCAACUUUGUAUUAUUGAAAUCAAGCCUCGCAUAUUGUGAUGUUACAUAAUACAAAGAAAUACUGAGGGUUACCUUUUCUGAAAGUAAUUCACAACAAUAGCAAAACGAAGCUACGAACUCAAAAUCAUGAACCAAACCUCAAACUCUAAUUUGUUGUAUACUCGUUUCCCUCUUCUUUUCUCGUUUUUGUUUUUUCUCACUAUUUUUGCUUUCUUUCUUCUUUCUGUCCCUUAUUGUGCGUUGUAUUGUGCAUGUGAUUUUGUGUGUACAUCUCUUUUCUCCUCCUUAUCCCCUCUAU
rnacentral:lncRNA from 1 species